rnacentral:lncRNA from 7 species
CUCGGGGGGUCUACGAUGAUUGGGCCACAUACCAAGAGCAAGUAUCGGGUUUCAGUAACAAUUCUUACAAGAGUUACAGUUCAAGGGACGAAGUUGUCAACGCUUUCUACUACAACAAACAAGCUAUCAGUCCUCUAUUCCAAAAUACUGAAGAAAUUGCAGUAAAACCAGAGCAGUCAAUCUGGUGUGUAAAGGACACCAUAAUCUUCGAUGUAAUUAAAAUGUUUUGUAUCAUGUACUUUGGUUAGGAGGUCUAGUUUGUUGUCAUUGUGUCAGUAUCAUGUACUUUUCUUUGGAGGUGUACUUCGUUGUCAUUAUGUAAUGCUAAGUACCUUUGAUAUUGUUAACUUUAUCAAUUGAACAA